GACAUUUGAUAAUGUCGAGAAUGAUAGUAUAAAUAUCAUUCUCGAUGUUUAUAAAUGUUGAGAACGACAUUUAUACUAUCAUUAUCGACAUUUCUA
rnacentral:miRNA from 1 species